rnacentral:lncRNA from 1 species
CAGCGCCCGGCCGAGCCCCGAGGGGGGCCGCGGCUCCUGCCGGGCGGCUCCGGCGCUGCGACUGCGACCCCGGUGCGCGGGGAGCCGGGCGUGCGGCGUGUCUCCUGCCCGCCUCAGCAGCCAGAGCUUGACAGCAACUCAUGUCUAACAUCGCUGGAGCUGACUUGUCCAGAAAGAGCUUAGCUGAUUUCUGAAGGUUGAAAACAAUUUUUGUGUAUUCUGUAAAAAAGCAUGUUGACAUUGUCAUAUACCUAGUAACUGCUUUGAAGAAGAACAAACCUGAAUGAGACUACAUUCUAAAAGAUGUAGACAGCAGACAAAUGGAUGGUCCAUACAAGAAAAUAUAAAUGCAAAUAUAUUUUCGCCUGUCGAUGAAUCUUUCGGAGAAAUAGAGCAAUUCGCCAAGGAAACGUUCAACGAAGAAAUCGGAGGCGCGAUUAGUACGUCUGCAGUAUGGAAACUUUCGACUGGGUCCCCCGCCCCCCCCCGCCAACUCCAGCCUCUCACAGCUAUAGGUGUGCCGAGAGUGUGUCUGUGAAAGCGAGGGGAGGGAGCUGCAAUUCAUAAAGCCUCCUAUAUAAUUAAUCAUGAGGGCCUGCGUUAUUGUAUUUAGCCGGGAACUGUCGGCGCUACUGUAUUGAUAAGCAGGCAGCCUUUUAAGCAGCUCCACCGAAUGACUGGAGCGUCUGCUGGUCUCGCCGAGCCCACCUUGCACCAAGUGAGAAGUCCCCGUUCCCUGCGGCGGCACUUCCCAGAUGUUCCCUGCCUUCGCCCAUUGUUCACAACAGCCACCCCUGCCCCGCAGCCCCGGCUGUCAGGUUGCAUUUGCAGAGACCUCUUUAAUUAAGUAUUAGUAUCAUUAGGAGUAAUAAUAUUAAUAACAACAGCAACAGGAGCGAGGGGAGGCCGGCGGGGAGGCACGCUCGGGAAGGACGGCAGAAGGCAGCCCACCUGUGCCCCGGGCGGCGGCUCCGCGCCGCAGCGCUCUGCGCGCCCCACUCGUGGCGUGGGAGGGCAGGCUCGCCUCGGCGGCCCCCAGCCCUUCGCCCGAAGUCUG